UAUUAAGUGGCUGAAUUCUAAGCAAUGGAAUUUUAACCCAUUUAUGGUACCUUACCCUUAAUA
rnacentral:tRNA from 1 species